rnacentral:snoRNA from 1 species
CAGACUAUAUUUUCAGGGAUCAUUUUCAUAGUUCUUUACUUGGAAAUGUGUUUCGAAAGAGGUUUGUUUCACAACCCAUGAUGACGAGCUGUAGUGCUCCUUUCUGAGAGUGAACCAAGGACAGAACUCUGACUUUGGUUGCAAGCUCUGUCAUUGAUGAGUGUUCAUUUUCCUUUUGGCAAUGUUGAAGAAGAGUAUGAUCUGAGUGGU